GAAAGUGAACUCGGUGAUUUCGAGUAAUUCUAAGAGUAUACAUCUCAUCUAUCUGGUAUCCUUUUUUGAGUAAUGAUAAGAGGAUACAUCUCAUCUAUCAGGAAUUAAUCCAUCUCGUUUUCUCUGUGUUUACCUUGUUCUACAAAUGGCUAACUAGGUAAUGAUUAUUGAUAGCUAAUGACAUGAGGGAGAGGGGGACAAGCCCCUUUAGCUACUGCAAUACGGUUGUGCAUACAAAUGUGCUACUCAUAUUCCACUGUUAGACGAGCUAGCCGCGAGAAGCAGGUUGUAAGGGGAGCCAGAGAGGUGAGGGAGGUGACCAAAGCGGCAGCGGCCUUGGGGUGCCGAAGAAGAGUGCACGGGAGGAUGGAAAGGGGCUCGUAUACGACGGCUGGAAGAGAACUAUGCUUUCCUAAACCUGAAUGGGCCAGAAGUGGCAAGACAGAUCUGGCAGUCAAUUAUUCUUCAGUUUCGGUUGUGAUGUUUCAACAUGAGUUCGGAGCGUUAAUGCUUUGCUGAUGCGAGGAGGUGAAGUUGUAUGCUACCAGAGUGCAGAUAUUUCUUGGUAUGUUUGCUUUCAAGAAAAGAUGGAUGUGUGUUGUGACUGUGACAGAUGGUUCUACUGGAUAUGCUGUUGGGUAUAUAACAAGAAGCAUUGGUAAGGAUAUCAAAAUACAAGAGAAUGCUGCAACGACCAAGGUGCCAUAUAUAUAUCGAAGGAGGAUUCAGAAUAUGAAGUUACUGGAAACAUUGUUGGAAGUGUUGGUCCUGAGAGCACAGAAAAGGAUUCAUCGUUUCUUAUAAAAACAUUACGAUCAUUCAAAGAAGCUUUGAUUAAGGAGGAUGACACAAAUGUUGCUGAGAUUGAGGCCUUCUUACUUUGCAUUGAUGUCGAUGAUGAGAAGAACUCUCUUAUGAGGAAAAUCAUUGCUUUGAAUUAUUGAUAACCGUGAGAGAUCGUGUCUUGAGAGCAGGUGCAGAAUCUGAAUUCUACAGAUUGAGAGCAGGUGCAGAUUCUGAAUUCUGUACACAGAAGAUAGAAACAGAGAGCUGGUGGCAAAUGUGCAAGGGGAGGUUAUGGAGAGCUUUCUUCGCUAGCUGAAUAAGUCUAUCAGGAGUCAAGGCCUGUUUUGUUGGAGGCUUGAUGGAACUUGCCUGGCCUGAUAAGUAACUGUGCGCGCGGUUUGGUUGGCGUCCUGGGUGCUUGGCUUGAGCUAGCAUGCCGUGUUGUUAUCUUGGUUGAGGCAGCUGGAGUUAGCAACGUGAUUAGUCAAGGGUGGCUGUCGAUGCCAUCUAAAAAAUACUCCCUCCGUCCCAUAAUGUAAGACAUUUUUUGACACUACACUAAUGUCAAAAAAGUCCUAUAUUAUGGGACGGAGGGAGUAGGUCUUAAAACUUCAUAUUUUCUCAGGAAAAAUUCGUAUGAAUUAAUGAAUAUCAGGCUACAUUCAGGCGA